UGAGAAGUUAUGUUUUGAGUUUCAGAGCAUGUUGUUCUUAUUUUUAGUUUUAUUUUUGGUUUCUCUUUGAGUUUUAAUUUUUGAGAGUUUAUUUAGGUAGAAAGUUGUAUUUAUUCUACAAUUUUAAUUUCUGUUCUGCAAUACAUUAAAUCUUCUUUCAUGCAAUCUAUAUUCCAGUCUCCAAUUUUUCUAGCAUUUUUUUUUCAUCCAUUUUAUGCCAAAGUUUUUCUUUGAUUAGUUCAAUAUAUAAAUGCAUUUCAAAUUUAAAUACUUGUCUUUCCGUCAAUUUCAAGUAGAAAACAUUCUCUGGUAGCCCAGAGAAUCAUUCAAACAUCCUCGAAAUAAUAUUUUUCUUCUAUCAUUCAAGAAUCGAUUUCGAAUCCGAGUGAACGUUUACAUUUUUAUGCAACUCCAAUCGCUUCCCUGUGGAUUGACCUCUUACGACCACUAUUCUCAAAUCGGAUUUUGGAUGCCCGGAGUGAACGCCCUCCAGUAGUAAGUUUUUAUUUUUAUUUUUAUUAAUUUUCCUUAUUUUGAUAAUUUCUAGUUAAUAAUUUUGUAGUUAUUAAAUUCUGAAAUUUGAAAUUCAAAAAAAAUUAAAAAUUUUUUUCAAAAUUCAAAAAUUCAAAAAAUUAAAUUCAAAAUUUGAAUUCUGAAAUUCGAAAUUUGAAAUUUAAAUUUAAAAAAAAUAAAAAAAUAAUAAAAAAAUAUUAUUUUUACUAGUAAUUGAUAAGGUGCAAUCCUCCGAGGUUAUCAUACCUCUAUUGGGGCUCCUCACAGAGUAAUCUCCAGAGCUUAUUCAACGGGCAUUCGGAGAUUGACUGACGCAUAAAGAUUGUGUUUAGUUUACAUUCAAGUUAUUGUUAUAUAAAAAUUAAAAAAAAUAAUUAAAAUAAAAAUAAAAAAUAGUAAAAAAAAUUGCUUGCUCAUUUAAUCAGUACAACCUAAUGAUAUUGCAUAAACUUUAAAAAAUUAUUGAUUAUUUGCUGCAUCAAGUAUUGCAUAAAAUAAUUUAAGGGCAAAAUUCAUUAAAAAGAUAAGGUCGGAAAGUCAUUACCUGUCUUUAGCCCAAAAAUUACCACCUUA
rnacentral:lncRNA from 1 species